GUACCGGGGUCCUGGGAGGGACACAGGAGCCCAGAAGAAGUGGAAAGGUGGAUCACUGGCCUGCAGAGGGCGCUCCAGAGGCUGGAGAGCUAAUUCCCUGGAUGACUAGCAGGAGAUGCCGCAGGGGGAAAAAAUGCUGCCUCCUGCCUCCAGAGGAUCUCCACUGUUAGCAGAAACAGAUGAAAUUUGCUGUGCAACUGGGGCUGUGUUUGGAAGGCUCGAAUAUUGGCUGGACACCCCAUAUUCAAGAAAAAUCACUGGCUUUUUCACCUCAUUGCCUUGUUUACAUAGAAAGGAAGGAACCUUCAGUAUGCACCUCAGGAUUUGUAUGCAGAACAUGAAAGCCCACUCAGCACUGGCAGCACAAAAGUAAUCCAAUUAGCAAGAUCUUCACAAAACUCAGUGGGAUGGUCAAGAUGGGAACUCUCCAUGAAAUCAAAAGUCUACAACUUCAGAAAUGUGACUAGAGAUGAGCUGAAGUGGUUUGGAGGAAUGUGUGAAUAAUGAGGUUGUGGAUUUUGGUUUUGUUUACAGUAGAAAAGAACUAAGCAAAAUUUAAUUUUGUGUAGUCUACAGAGAAACUAUCAGUCCUCCCCUCAGCUUCAGUCAAUCCAAUUAUCGCCACUCUACUCAGCCAGAGCAGGAUGCUGAGUGCUAGUCAGGGCAAUGCUCAUGUCUGUGUUAACAGAAGAAGGAAUACACCUGUUCAGUACUGAGCUCCACGUGUUGGCCACAUAUUAUGAAAGUGAGUGGAAAAAGUGACCAGAACAGGUACUGGUGAGAAAUUAGAGAAGGCUUUGGGACACUUCUGCUUCAGUCAGGUGUCUUGGAAGGCCUACUCGACAGACAUGAUUGGGAAGAUGAUCUUUCUUAUUCCUCUUAGUUGUUGUUCUCCUUUCUAAUGAUCAUGCAGCUAUUUUUUCUUACCACUCCACAAAGCUAACACCCCUGAAAUCUUUUAUUGUGAUACCCUCUUCAGGUAUUGUGAAGUUGCCCUCUUCAGUGCUCUACCCAAUUCUCUCCUUUCUGUAAUAUGGAUGCCCUAAAUAGUGCAUUGUGUGACACAUAUCACAACCCCAUGCAGUAUCUUUGGGGCCCAGUGUAUUAAUCAUACAUAAAACUUUCAUAAAUGUAUGUUUUACUUCAUGGGGAGGGUUACCACAGCUCCUACAAGAAUUUAAAACAAUGUGUGUGUGUGGGUGGGGGGGAAUAUUAAGUAUAGUCACUGAGACUAAACAGCUCUAGAGAGGAACUCCUUCUGGAGUGGUUUGCAUAUACUGGUUCAAGCUGGGUUUUCCUGAGACUAGGAGACAAAGAAAGGGCUUUUAGUAUAAAAGUAGGCUUAGAGGAAAUCCAUUUUUAUUUUUUUAAUAAUUUUGACAGAUACCAAUGUUUAUCUAUUAAGUUUUCAGUUGUGGGAAGGUAUGGAGGGGGCAGACAAUUUAAUGACAGACACUGAAAUUCAAAAAGUUAAAGCUUAAUAACCAUUCAAAACCAAACUGUCAACAUCGUAUCAAAAUGUACAAAGUAAAUUUCCUUAAAUCAAACUCUAAUAAGUUCUCAAGAAGCAUUUUUCCUUUUGCACAUCUGUAAAUUCUGAUCAUCGUCAAUGGAAAUCUUUUUUUGUCUAUGUGUGUAUGGUGAAAUUGAUGUUUAUCAACAUUUACCAAUAAAAAUCUAAGCCUUUCAAGGCUGUAUAAAAGGAUGAGCUUGAACUGACACAUGACUUCUUUCUGAUCAGCAAAUAGACAGAACCUUCUGCCCAAAGUGGGGUCUCAAUCCUUGUAGAAGGGCUGGAAAGACUUUGACCUAUUACAGUCCCAUAAGACUGAUGGGAUAUCAAAUGGGUGACCUCUAGUAAGCUAUUAGCACCCAUAUAGGAACUUCUAUUGGUUUUAUGUUUUCUCUGUAAUGCUUUUAACUUUAAGAAUAAAUGUGCUUGCUUAGAAAUAUUUAUGUGUAACUGUUGGCAAUACACUGGUCACAGCCCUCGGAGAAAACAAAGCACAAGCACCAGCCUUUAAGU